CAGCUGGUUACUUUACGUCAAACUGCCGUAUGUCGCAAAAAAGCCAAAGAGCCCACACGUAGUUGGCAGCUACUAUUCACUAAAGUAUAUAUCGUUUUAUUUACUAUUCAAGAUAACUGCUACAAUGGAAAUCUUACGUCCAUCAUUGAUCAACAUAAGUGGAAGAGUAUACAGAAGAAAUACCAUCAAAGAAUACCAGUAUGAAGAGGGGGAAGAGGACGACUCCUACAUGGGACCACCAGCUAGUGAACCGUUUGACGAAGACGAAGAGUUCUGUGACAGCCACUCCAUAGAACAGACUGACAAAGGUUUCAGCUGUGCCAUUGAUGUCCCAAGUGUUCUUUACAAAUACAUCAUCGGGAGGAAAGGAGAGACACGUAGAAGACUAGAGGCAGACACAAAGACAGACAUCAACAUUCCUAAACAAGGAGUGGAAGGGCAGAUCGUGAUCACUGGCUCCCAGAAGGCCGCGGUGUCCUCUGCCGUGACUCGUGUCGAGCUCCUGGUUCAGAGCUUUCGCAAGAAGCAGCCGUUCACCCACUUCCUGUCGUUCGCUCUUAACCACCCUCAAGUUCAGGAUGGAUUCCUGAGGUUUAAAGAGGAGGUGUUGGAGCAGUGUUCUCAGGACCACGGAGUAGAUGGAAGCAUCUUCCAGAACCCUGCUAAGCUCCAUCUGACAGUCGGCACCCUGGCUCUGCUGAACGACCUGGAAGUGACUCAAGCAUGUAAACAACUCCAGCACUGUCAGGACUUUAUCAAGACCAUCACAGAAGGGAAGCCUCUCCCGUUGGAGGUGACAGGGAUUGAGUACAUGAACGAUGACCCAGCCAUGGUGGAUGUCCUGUAUGCCAAGGUCCAAGUCAAAGAUGGUUCGGACAAGCUGCAGGCCAUUGUGGAGCGGCUGGUGGACCACUUUGUUUCCUCAGGGCUGAUGGUCAGAGAAUGGGACAGAGUGAAGCUGCACGGCACAGUGAUGAACACUCUGUUCAGGAAGGCGGCUUCAGCCGAAGCCGCAGGAGGAAGGCAGAACAUGAAAGAGCGGGAGGCCUUCGAUGCCAGGAACAUAUUAAAGAGUUUUGGGUCGUACCAUUUUGGGGGGUUUGACCUGAAUGCUGUCCAGAUUUCCCAGAGGUAUUCUACCGACUGCACCGGCUUCUACACCUGCGCUGGCCUUCUGAACUUCUCCUGACCACCUCCCCCCCUUCACUCAGGUACAGUGGAGCUUGAGAGGGAGAACACAGCCUCCGCCUUCACUCAGGUCAGAGGUGAACGAGGAAGCUUCCAGGUGGACUGGACCUGCAGAGAUGAAUGACAGGGUUACAAGGUGGACAUGUCAGAAACUCUAGGAUGUCCCUGUCACCAUGGACUUGGCUGCAGGCGUGGAGAUGCCAGAGGCAAUCAAAUGCCAAUGGAAUUGUGUCAUAAAAUGCUGUCAUUCAUUUCCGUGGGACAUUGUGCUCCAUCUCCCUCAGUCACGUGCUUCCUGCUAAAAACAUGUCUUCCUGAAGUGUUUACAUUUCAACUGGAGUUGAAGGCCUGAAAACAACGUGAUUAUAUUAAUGACACAUUGGUUUAAUGACACAUUGGAUUAUUGACACAUUGGAUUAAUGACACAUUGGAUUAUUGACACAUUGGAUUAAUGACACAUUGGAUUAUUGACACAUUGGAUUAAUGACACAUUGGAUUAUUGACACAUUGGAUUAAUGACACAUUGGAUUAAUGACACAUUGGAUUAAUGACACAUUGGAUUAUUGACACAUUGGGUUAAUGACAUAUUGGGUUAAUGACACAUUGGAUUAAUGACACAUUGGGUUAAUGACACAUUGGAUUAAUGACACAUUGGGUUAAUGACACAUUGGGUUAAUGACACAUUGGAUUAAUGACACAUUGGGUUAUUGACACAUUGGAUUAUUGACACAUUGGGUUAAUGACACAUUGGGUUAAUGACACAUUGGAUUAAUGACACAUUGGAUUAAUGACACAUUGGGUUAUUGACACAUUGGGUUAAUGACACAUUGGGUUAAUGACACAUUGGAUUAAUGACACAUUGGGUUAUUGACACAUUGGAUUAUUGACACAUUGGAUUAAUGACACUUUGGGUUAAUGACACUUUGGAUGAAUGACACAUUGGGUUAAUGACACAUUGGGUUAAUGACACAUUGGGUUAUUGACACAUUGGGUUAAUGACACAUUGGAUUAACAUUUGGUUUUGAUAUUUUUUUCCCUCUGGUUCCACUAUUGUGAUAUGGGAUUAAUCUGUAAAAAAAAUAUUUUAUUAAUAAACAGACAAAUUAUUCAAAA